GGUUAAGCGACUAAGCGUACACGGUGGAUGCCCUGGCAGUCAGAGGCGAUGAAGGACGUGCUAAUCUGCGAUAAGCGUCGGUAAGGUGAUAUGAACCGUUAUAACCGGCGAUUUCCGAAUGGGGAAACCCAGUGUGAUUCGUCACACUAUCAUUAACUGAAUCCAUAGGUUAAUGAGGCGAACCGGGGGAACUGAAACAUCUAAGUACCCCGAGGAAAAGAAAUCAACCGAGAUUCCCCCAGUAGCGGCGAGCGAACGGGGAGCAGCCCAGAGCCUGAAUCAGUGUGUGUGUUAGUGGAAGCGUCUGGAAAGGCGCGCGAUACAGGGUGACAGCCCCGUACACAAAAAUGCACAUGCUGUGAGCUCGAUGAGUAGGGCGGGACACGUGGUAUCCUGUCUGAAUAUGGGGGGACCAUCCUCCAAGGCUAAAUACUCCUGACUGACCGAUAGUGAACCAGUACCGUGAGGGAAAGGCGAAAAGAACCCCGGCGAGGGGAGUGAAAAAGAACCUGAAACCGUGUACGUACAAGCAGUGGGAGCACGCUUAGGCGUGUGACUGCGUACCUUUUGUAUAAUGGGUCAGCGACUUAUAUUCUGUAGCAAGGUUAACCGAAUAGGGGAGCCGAAGGGAAACCGAGUCUUAACUGGGCGUUAAGUUGCAGGGUAUAGACCCGAAACCCGGUGAUCUAGCCAUGGGCAGGUUGAAGGUUGGGUAACACUAACUGGAGGACCGAACCGACUAAUGUUGAAAAAUUAGCGGAUGACUUGUGGCUGGGGGUGAAAGGCCAAUCAAACCGGGAGAUAGCUGGUUCUCCCCGAAAGCUAUUUAGGUAGCGCCUCGUGAAUUCAUCUCCGGGGGUAGAGCACUGUUUCGGCAAGGGGGUCAUCCCGACUUACCAACCCGAUGCAAACUGCGAAUACCGGAGAAUGUUAUCACGGGAGACACACGGCGGGUGCUAACGUCCGUCGUGAAGAGGGAAACAACCCAGACCGCCAGCUAAGGUCCCAAAGUCAUGGUUAAGUGGGAAACGAUGUGGGAAGGCCCAGACAGCCAGGAUGUUGGCUUAGAAGCAGCCAUCAUUUAAAGAAAGCGUAAUAGCUCACUGGUCGAGUCGGCCUGCGCGGAAGAUGUAACGGGGCUAAACCAUGCACCGAAGCUGCGGCAGCGACGCUUAUGCGUUGUUGGGUAGGGGAGCGUUCUGUAAGCCUGCGAAGGUGUGCUGUGAGGCAUGCUGGAGGUAUCAGAAGUGCGAAUGCUGACAUAAGUAACGAUAAAGCGGGUGAAAAGCCCGCUCGCCGGAAGACCAAGGGUUCCUGUCCAACGUUAAUCGGGGCAGGGUGAGUCGACCCCUAAGGCGAGGCCGAAAGGCGUAGUCGAUGGGAAACAGGUUAAUAUUCCUGUACUUGGUGUUACUGCGAAGGGGGGACGGAGAAGGCUAUGUUGGCCGGGCGACGGUUGUCCCGGUUUAAGCGUGUAGGCUGGUUUUCCAGGCAAAUCCGGAAAAUCAAGGCUGAGGCGUGAUGACGAGGCACUACGGUGCUGAAGCAACAAAUGCCCUGCUUCCAGGAAAAGCCUCUAAGCAUCAGGUAACAUCAAAUCGUACCCCAAACCGACACAGGUGGUCAGGUAGAGAAUACCAAGGCGCUUGAGAGAACUCGGGUGAAGGAACUAGGCAAAAUGGUGCCGUAACUUCGGGAGAAGGCACGCUGAUAUGUAGGUGAAGUCCCUCGCGGAUGGAGCUGAAAUCAGUCGAAGAUACCAGCUGGCUGCAACUGUUUAUUAAAAACACAGCACUGUGCAAACACGAAAGUGGACGUAUACGGUGUGACGCCUGCCCGGUGCCGGAAGGUUAAUUGAUGGGGUUAGCGCAAGCGAAGCUCUUGAUCGAAGCCCCGGUAAACGGCGGCCGUAACUAUAACGGUCCUAAGGUAGCGAAAUUCCUUGUCGGGUAAGUUCCGACCUGCACGAAUGGCGUAAUGAUGGCCAGGCUGUCUCCACCCGAGACUCAGUGAAAUUGAACUCGCUGUGAAGAUGCAGUGUACCCGCGGCAAGACGGAAAGACCCCGUGAACCUUUACUAUAGCUUGACACUGAACAUUGAGCCUUGAUGUGUAGGAUAGGUGGGAGGCUUGGAAGUGUGGACGCCAGUCUGCAUGGAGCCGACCUUGAAAUACCACCCUUUAAUGUUUGAUGUUCUAACGUUGACCCGUAAUCCGGGUUGCGGACAGUGUCUGGUGGGUAGUUUGACUGGGGCGGUCUCCUCCUAAAGAGUAACGGAGGAGCACGAAGGUUGGCUAAUCCUGGUCGGACAUCAGGAGGUUAGUGCAAUGGCAUAAGCCAGCUUGACUGCGAGCGUGACGGCGCGAGCAGGUGCGAAAGCAGGUCAUAGUGAUCCGGUGGUUCUGAAUGGAAGGGCCAUCGCUCAACGGAUAAAAGGUACUCCGGGGAUAACAGGCUGAUACCGCCCAAGAGUUCAUAUCGACGGCGGUGUUUGGCACCUCGAUGUCGGCUCAUCACAUCCUGGGGCUGAAGUAGGUCCCAAGGGUAUGGCUGUUCGCCAUUUAAAGUGGUACGCGAGCUGGGUUUAGAACGUCGUGAGACAGUUCGGUCCCUAUCUGCCGUGGGCGCUGGAGAACUGAGGGGGGCUGCUCCUAGUACGAGAGGACCGGAGUGGACGCAUCACUGGUGUUCGGGUUGUCAUGCCAAUGGCACUGCCCGGUAGCUAAAUGCGGAAGAGAUAAGUGCUGAAAGCAUCUAAGCACGAAACUUGCCCCGAGAUGAGUUCUCCCUGACUCCUUGAGAGUCCUGAAGGAACGUUGAAGACGACGACGUUGAUAGGCCGGGUGUGUAAGCGCAGCGAUGCGUUGAGCUAACCGGUACUAAUGAACCGUGAGGCUUAACCUU
rnacentral:rRNA from 1 species